CCUACGGGAGGCAGCAGUAGGGAAUCUUCCACAAUGGGCGCAAGCCUGAUGGAGCAACACCGCGUGAGUGAAGAAGGGUUUCGGCUCGUAAAGCUCUGUUGUUGGAGAAGAACGUGCGUGAGAGUAACUGUUCACGCAGUGACGGUAUCCAACCAGAAAGUCACGGCUAACUACGUGCCAGCAGCCGCGGUAAUACGUAGGUGGCAAGCGUUAUCCGGAUUUACUGGGUGUAAAGGGCGUGCAGCCGGAGAGACAAGUCAGAUGUGAAAUCCACGGGCUCAACCCGUGAACUGCAUUUGAAACUG
rnacentral:rRNA from 1 species